UUCUCCUCAGACAAAUCCAUGGGUUCGGGUUCGGGCUCAGGCUCAGGUUGCUUGGAGGGUUCGGCUUCCGCGGCUCUCUUCCUCUCGGAAGGUGAGGGCGACGGCGAAUCAGGCAUGUCAGCGUCGGUGGGUGGAGAGGUUUGAAUCUUCACGUUGAGCAAAACCCCUAUGGCAUGCAUAACUCUUUGGUCCUUCAAGUGCAGGUUGAGGUUAUUAGGAUCUUUCUGGAUAUCUUGCAUCAUCUUCAAGAAAUCGGGCUGUUGGAGGUAAGCCCUAGUUACGGGGUCCGCGGUAAGCCGGGUCCACAUCUCGGGCCCAGAGAAAGCAUCUCCGAAGGGGCUAGCGGCGGAGGAGCGGGGUCUGGAGGCGGCAGCUAGGGCCUUCUGCGCAUCGGCCAAACCGGACUUGAGGGGCUCGUUGUUGGGGUCGAUUUCGAGGCCGUUCUUGUAAUCCGAAAUGGCGUCGUCGUAUUGGGAGAGGCCGAGAUGCGCGGCGCCAAGACGACUGUAGCCCUUGGACCAGUCGGGCUUGAGUUCAACGGUCUUCUUGGCAUCGGUUAGGGCAUCGGAGUAGUUUUGGAGGGACGCAUACGCGGCGGAUCGGUUGGAAUAGAGGACGUGGUUGGUGG
rnacentral:lncRNA from 1 species